CUACGGGUGACUGCAGUGGGGAAUAUUGCACAAUGGGGGAAACCCUGAUGCAGCAACGCCGCGUGGAGGAUGACGCAUUUCGGUGUGUAGACUCCUUUUAUAUAGGAAGAUAAUGACGGUACUAUAUGAAUAAGCACCGGCUAACUCCGUGCCAGCAGCCGCGGUAAUACGGAGGGUGCAAGCGUUACUCGGAAUCACUGGGCGUAAAGCGCGCGCAGGCGGCCCCUUAAGUUGGAUGUGAAAGCCUACGGCUUAACCGUAGAACUGCAUCCAAAACUGAGGGGCUAGAGUCUGGGAGGGGAAGAUGGAAUUAGUUGUGUAGGGGUAAAAUCCGUAGAGAUAACUAGGAAUACCAAAAGCGAAGGCGAUCUUCUGGAACAGUACUGACGCUGAGGCGCGAAAGCGUGGGGAGCAAACAGGAUUAGAUACCCCCGUAGUC
rnacentral:rRNA from 1 species